rnacentral:rRNA from 1 species
AAACCAACAGGGAUUGCCUUAGUAGCGGCGAGUGAAGCGGCAAUAGCUCAAAUUUGAAAUCUGGCGCCUUCGGUGUCCGAGUUGUAAUUUGAAGAAGGUAUCUUUGGUUUUGGCUCUUGUCUAUGUUUCUUGGAACAGGACGUCAUAGAGGGUGAGAAUCCCGUCUGAUGAGAUGCCCAAUUCCAUGUAAAGUUCCUUCGACGAGUCGAGUUGUUUGGGAAUGCAGCUCUAAGUGGGUGGUAAAUUCCAUCUAAAGCUAAAUAUUGGCGAGAGACCGAUAGCGAACAAGUACUGUGAAGGAAAGAUGAAAAGAACUUUGAAAAGAGAGUGAAAAAGUACGUGAAAUUGUUGAAAGGGAAGGGUUUAAGGUCAGACUUGGUUUACCAGGCCAGCAUCGGUUUAGAUGGCAGGAUAAUGGCGUAGGAAUGUGGCUUUGCUUCGGUAAAGUGUUAUAGCCU